rnacentral:piRNA from 1 species
UUGUUUUCCUCUGAAUUUCCU